UCGAGUGGCGAACGGGUGAGUAACGCGUGAGGAACCUGCCUCAAAGAGGGGGACAACAGUUGGAAAUGACUGCUAAUACCGCAUAAGCGCACAGGACCGCAUGGUCCGGUGUGAAAAACUCCGGUGGUAUAAGAUGGACCCGCGUUGGAUUAGCUGGUUGGUGGGGUAACGGCCUACCAAGGCGACGAUCCAUAGCCGGCCUGAGAGGGUGAACGGCCACAUUGGGACUGAGACACGGCCCAGACUCCUACGGGAGGCAGCAGUGGGGAAUAUUGCACAAUGGGGGAAACCCUGAUGCAGCGACGCCGCGUGAAGGAAGAAGUAUCUCGGUAUGUAAACUUCUAUCAGCAGGGAAGAAAAUGACGGUACCUGACUGAGAAGCCCCGGCUAACUACGUGCCAGCAGCCGCGGUAAUACGUAGGAGGCAAGCGUUAUCCGGAUUUACUGGGUGUAAAGGGAGCGUAGACGGAUGGACAAGUCUGAUGUGAAAGGCUGGGGCUCGACCCCGGGACUGCAUUGGAAACUGCCCGUCUUGAGUGCCGGAGAGGUAAGCGGAAUUCCUAGUGUAGCGGUGAAAUGCGUAGAUAUUAGGAGGAACACCAGUGGCGAAGGCGGCUUACUGGACGGUAACUGACGUU
rnacentral:rRNA from 1 species